rnacentral:lncRNA from 1 species
AUUAUCUUAUUCUAUUUUGCCUCGAGAGGGUAAAUUUCGAACGAAUCGAUGUCAACGUUCACAAGAACCAAAGUCGGAACAACAUUAGACCACUCAGUUGCGCCAUAACAGUAUAACUUUGCAGCGAGUACUUUUUCUCAUUCAAUCGAACAAAGUGUAAAACCAAAUUAUAUUAUUCUAUUAUGCCCCGAGAGUGUAAAGUUGCAUCGAAUCGAUAUUAACAUUCACAGGAACCAAAACCGGAACAACAUUAGACUCCUCACUUGCGCCCUAACAGUACAUGUCACGCCCCGGGACCGAUACCAAUUUGGCCCGACCCGAGCACGUCAAACAGACGCCGAACGGACAGAGCUUCCCCUAUCCGCCCAAGGCUCAUCACAUGUACAUUUUCAUCAAUAGAGAAAAGCACUAGCGGAAACAUACACAAACGGCUUACACGAGGGUAAGCAAUAGCCAUUAGUGAAAGAAAGGAAAACUAAACAUUCGAUUGUAGUACGAUUCAAUUUAGAUCAUAUACAUACAUCCAACCUGUAAUUUUUCGAAAUCCUUACAUUCUGUUUCAUCAUUUCUUUCUUACAUCACAUUUACCUCAAAAUACACAUUACAUUCUUUUCUUUACAUCAUUUACCAUCAUAUACAAAGAUGAUCAUAGGGUACUUUACUACAAAAUGAAAACCCGACUUUGGUGGCCUCUGACUAAGGCGCGAUACCUUUACCUCGGUCACUCGCCGGCUCGCUCGGUCCCGGCUCUGUGAAAAUAGUGGGGUGAGAACUACAACAAAGUUCCCAGUGGGUUCGGCCUCAACACCACCGACUUUCCCACUAGGUCUAACUCAGGCAUAAUAGAAAGAAUAAGCUGUAUAGUAACCAAUCUACAACAUGAUGCUAAUAUGCCUGAACAAUAAGCAAGAAGUAUGCUCAACAUUAAAUAAAUGCAGAUUAUGCAAAUUCUUUCAUUGUUUGACUUUACUUUGUACUUUGUUCUUUAUUCUUUGCUCUUUGUUCUUUGUUCUUUGUUCUUUAAUCUCAAGGCUAACCCGGAGGUUUCGCCACAUUAACUUGCUUCACAUUAAGUCCAUCAUCGCAGGAACUCACCCGCUAGGACCGUCCUUCGGGUUUACUCCAACCCGUGAUGCAUAACUCCGGAGCGCAUCGCCCGAGGGGGAGCGACCGCCCUCGAGCACGGAACUCAUAGCAAGUAUGAUCAUAUCCUUAACUCAAAGGAUUUAUAAGUUCAAUCUUGACUUUACACUAGCUCUAGUGUUCAUUAUAUCACUUUAUGUUGCAAACUCAUGCAAUCACGUUCUUUACAUUUUCCUUUACUUUUGCUAACUCUAGCAAUUAUAUUCUUUACAUUCUUUACUUUUGGCUACCUCUAGCACUUCGUGUUCUUUACUCCCACAUUACUUUAACUUUAGACAAUGUCAUUUUCAUCAUUCUUUACGUCACGUUAGUUCUUUGCAUCACACUAACUCUAGUGUCUCUUUACUUUACAUUUUCAAAUGCCACUUGAUCUAUGUCAUAGUGUCACUCUGUUCUUUUGCUCCCUUUGGGUGCUCACUUUUCUCUCAUGCAUACAUAGGGUUUUCGACAUUCAUAAGGUGUCAUAUUAUGCAAGUUGUACUCACAAUCAUGCAUCAUUACAUUUCAUCAUUACUUUACCCUAAAAUGCAUGCAACAAUAUAUAUAUAUAUGCUCAAUUGAAUGACACAUUAGGCAUAGAGAGAAGUUCAAUGAGUUUGAGAAGCACCACCCACCUCGUAGGCUUUCAAAGGUGCUCCGACGAUUUUCUUGGGAUUUUUAGACACCCGGUUCACUACCUGCGGCAUAACGAAGCCAAAUUAGGCUUAUUUGGCUAUAACUUUACAUACACUUUUCGUAAUGCUAUUCCGAGCGCACCAACGCGUCGGAAAUACCCCUAAUUAGGUUUCUAGAGGGUCAAUUUCAAUUAGAAAUCUCCAUGAGCAAAAGCCCCAAUUUGGUGCCCUAGCUCCAAUACACAUAUCAAACCUAGGGUUUGAUCUCAUUGGGAAGCAAAAGUAGCUUCAUUACACUCUAAAUAGUCCAUUAGAACCAUCCCCAGCUCACUCCAAACCCUAGUUUGGAUUUCACCAUGAGAGGUGGUCCAAGCUCACCUCUAUAGCAAACCAAGGUUUUGAUCUCUAAAGAAGCAAAAAGAAAGCUUCAAAAACUCUAAACAAUCCAUUAAAACCAUUUCUAGGUUUAUUCAAAGCCCAUUCUAGGGUUUUUACUACAAUAGGGUUCAAAGCUUACCUUGUAAGCUCUCUUUUCUUGCACUAGAGAGCAAGAAGAUGAAGUCCCUUUGCUCUUUGAUCUUCUUCUUCACUUUCUUCUCCUUCCUUUCCUUCUUUUCUUCCUUUCUUCUUCUUUUCCUUUGUCUUCUAGAGAGAGAGAGAAGAGAGUGUGAGAGGGUGAGGGAAUGAGAGAGGAAGGCUCCCUCAGCCCCAACAUAACCCUUGGGUUGCAAAAUUGCUAAUAAACCCCUCAACUUUUACUCCUUGACGCAGCCUGGACUGGGCAGUUUUCGUAGGCAGAGACCGUCUCCCCGACCAGGGACCGGUCCCCGAAGGUCCACCCUGCGCAGCCAGAGCUGCCGCGCGCAAUGCAUCCGGUCCCUCCUUGGGGGACCGGUCUCUCAGGCAGGGACCGGUUCCAGAGAGCUAACUUCUCAGGACUUGGCCGAUUUUUCGGCAGUCUCAUUCCUUACGCAUUCGGGGACCGGUCUCUCCCUUUAGGGACCGGUUCCCGAGAGCUACUUUCUCAGGACUUAGCUGAUUUUUCGGCUGUCUCGCUUCAUACGCGCUCGGGGACCGGUCUCUUCCACCAGGGACCGGUCCCUGAGAGCUGAAACCUGCAGUUUUGCAGAAUUCGAUUCUUUAGCUCUCGAAAACCUUCCACAACACACUUUUGACCGUUUUAAUACCUUCGGACAUUCCGAAGUGUACCAUCCUCGCACUUUGGUCAAUUUGACUAAAGUUCGAGAUUUAUUUUCCGAACUUUCGGUAUAUUACAGUACAAAUUUGCAACGAGUACUUUUUCUCAUUCUAUCGAACAAAGAGUAAAAUCUAAUUAUAUUGUUCUAUUAUGUCCCGAGAGUGUAAAUUUGGAACGAAUCGAUGUCAACGUUCACAAGAACCAAAAUCGGAACGACAUUAGACUACUCAGUUGGGCACUAGCAGUAUAACUUUGCAACGAGUACUUUUUCUCAUUCAAUCGAACAAACAGUUAAACCUAAUUAUAUCGUUCUAUUAUGCCCCGAGAGUGUAAAUUUAGAAUGAAUCGAUGUCAACGUUCACAGGAACCAAAACCGGAACAACAUUAGAAUACUAAGUUGCGCCCUAACAGCAUAACUUUGCAACGAGUACUUUUCCUCAUUCAAUCGAACAAACAGUUAAACCUAAUUAUAUAGUUCUAUCAUACCCCGAGAGUGUAAAUUUCGAAUGAAUCGAUGUCAACGUUCACAAGAACCAAAAUCGGAACAAUAUUAGACUACUCAGAUGCGCCAUAACAGCAUAACUUUGCAACGAGUACUUUUUCUCAUUCAAUCGAACAAAGUGUCAAACCUAAUUAUAUUGUUCUAUUAAGCCCCAAGAGUGUAAAGAUGGACGAAUCGAUGUCAACGUUCACAAGAACCAAAAUCGGAACAACAUUAGACUACUCAGUUGCGCCCUAAGUGUAUAACUUUGCAACGAGUACUUUUUCUCAUUCUAUCGAACGAAGAGUAAAAGCUAAUUAUACUAUUCUAUUUUUCCCCGAGAGUGUAAAUUUGGAACGAAUCGACGUCAACGUUCACAGGAACCAAAACCGAAACAAUAUUAGAAUACUCAGUUGCGCCAUAACAGUAUAACUUUGCAACGAGUACUUUUUCUCAUUCAAUCGAACAACAGUUAAACCUAAAUAUAUUGUUCUAUUAUGCCCCGAGAGUGUAAAUUUCGAAUGAAUCGAUGUCAACAUUCACAAGAACCAAAGCCGGAACAACACUAGACUACUUAGUUGCGCCCUAACAGUAUAACUUUGCAACGAGUACUUUUUCUCAUUCAAUCGAACAAAGAGUAAAACCUAAUUAUCUUAUUCUAUUUUGCCUUGAGAGGGUAAAUUUCGAACGAACCGAUGUCAACGUUCACAAGAACCAAAAUCGGAACAACAUUAGACCACUCAGUUGCGCCAUAACAGUAUAACUUUGCAGCGAGUACUUUUUCUCAUUCAAUGGAACAAAGUGUAAAACUAAAUUAUAUUAUUCUAUUAAGCCCCGAGAGUGUAAAGUUGCAACGAAUCGAUGUUAACAUUCACAAGAACCAAAACCGGAACAACAUUAGACUCCUCACUUGCGCCCUAACAGUACAAAUUUGCAACGAGUACUUUUUCUCAUUCUAUCGAACAAAGAGUAAAAUCAAAUUGUAUUGUUCUAUUAUGUCCCGAGAGUGUAAAUUUGGAACGAAUCGAUGUCAACGUUCACAAGAACCAAAACCGGAACGACAUUAGACUACUAAGUUGCGCACUAACAGUAUAACUUUGCAACGAGUACUUUUUCUCAUUUAAUCGAACAAACAGUUAAAUAAAGAGUAAAACCUAAUUAUCUUGUUCUAUUUUGCCUCGAGAGAGUAAAUUUCGAACGAAUCAAUGUCAACGUUCACAAGAACCAAAAUCGGAACAACAUUAGGCAACUCAGUUGCGCCAUAACAGUAUAACUUUGCAACGAGUACUUUUUCUCAUUCAAUCGAACAAAGAGUAAAACAUAAUUAUAUUAUUCUAUUCUGCCCCAAGAGCGUACAUUUGCAACGAUUCGAUGUCAACGUUCACAAGAACCAAAGCCGGAACAACAUUAGACUACUCACUUGCGCCCAGCGCCCUAGCAGUAUAACUUUGCAUCGAGUACUUUUUCUCAUUCUAUCGAACAAAGCGUAAAACCUAAUUAUAUUGUUCUAUUAUGGGUAAAUUUUGAACGAAUCGAUACCAAUAUUCACAGAACCAAAACCGGAACAACAUUAGACCUCUCAGUUGCGCCCUAACAGUAUAACUAUGCAACGAGUACAUUUUCUCAUUUAACCGAACAAAGUGGAAAACCUAAUUAUAUUGUUCUAUUA